UACGGAGGAUGCAAGCGUUAUCCGGAUUUAUUGGGUUUAAAGGGUGCGUAGGCGGAUAUGUAAGUCAGCGGUGAAACUCACAGGCUCAACCUGUGCCGUGCGGUUGAAACUGUGUAUCUGGAAUGCGGACGCUGUGGGAGGAAUGUGUAGUGUAGCGGUGAAAUGCAUAGAUAUUACACAGAACACCGAUUGCGAAGGCAGCUCACAAAGCUAUUUCUGACGCUGAGGCACGAAAGCGUGGGGAGCAAA
rnacentral:rRNA from 1 species